rnacentral:rRNA from 1 species
GACGAACGCUGGCGGCGCGCUUAACACAUGCAAGUCGAGCGAGAACCGGGGCUUCGGCCCCGGGGACAGCGGCGAACGGGUGAGUAACACGUGGGUAACCUGCCCUCGGCACCGGGAUAGCCCGGGGAAACUCGGAUUAAUACCGGAUGGCCCCUCCGACCUUCGGGUCGGCUGGGAAAAGGUAGCUUCGGCUUCCGGCCGAUGAUGGGCCC